CAGCAGCCGCGGUAACACGUAGGGUGCAAGCGUUAAUCGGAAUUACUGGGCGUAAAGCGUGCGCAGGCGGUUAUAUAAGACAGAUGUGAAAUCCCCGGGCUUAACCUGGGAACUGCAUUUGUGACUGUAUAGCUAGAGUACGGCAGAGGGGGAUGGAAUUCCGCGUGUAGCAGUGAAAUGCGUAGAUAUGCGGAGGAACACCGAUGGCGAAGGCAAUCCCCUGGGCCUGUACUGACGCUCAUGCACGAAAGCGUGGGGAGCAAACAGGAUUAGAUACCCGGGUAGUCCCUGUCUCUUAUAA
rnacentral:rRNA from 1 species